AGAGUGAGAAAGAAGAAGAAACCGUCAACAUUAUCGUAUUCUUCCUGUUGAAGGACUCCAGUGUCUGAUGACAAACUGUGAUACCCCCACUUCCUCCCAUCAGAAAGAAGGACAACAUCAAGACCCAGAAGAGCAGUGGAAGGGCAAAAACCUUCUUGUAGGCCAUUUUCAAAAAUGGGACUUUCUAGUGCCUUGCAGCCUGUUGGCUUGAAUGCCGUGGUGCUUUCUGGUGUGAUGGAUCUCUGCCCCUGCAAGCAAUUCUGAUAAAAUCAACAGAUAAAACAAAAAAGAAAGUAUCAAAGCACAGAGUGAUAAACCCUCAUCCAGACCGUCUCCCCUCCUCUAGCACAGCCCUCAGACCAGUUCACCAGAGGGGUGCCCCUUCCCCUCCCAGCUGCCAGGGCAGCAGCCUGCUGCAGGGAGCCUCAGGUCUUUUUUUCCGGGAGGAGGAAGCAUUAGUGAUGAAGGUGGAACGGAUUUGCUGCUUCUCUUCCUCAUCAACACAGCUUGUCCACCAACUGCUCUGUGUGGAUCUUAAAAUAGUCUUUUGAGGAUAGGAAACUGCUCAUCAGCUUCAAACCAACAGCUACAUCUUGUGUAAAAGAGAGCAACCCAGGGUGCCGUCGCUGUCUUAGUUUCUCUUUUGUGAGCAGCUGGUGGUUGGUGGGAUGCACUGGGUAUGUUUCCACUGAUCUCGGUUUUAAAAUGCUGUCUUCCUGCUUCCUCUCUCUAUGGGGUUUUGGGGCCAGUGCUGGUCAGGGGCUGAGAUGCCUCCAGAGCCAACAAAGACCAUUCAGCAGUGCUAAAGGGUAACCUGAAGUUUUAAGUGAGUUUGCUAAAUCCUGAAGGUUUGUGACACAUCUGCCCAUCCUUGUGUUUGUAAGUGGAGUCUUUUUGGUGCUGCAUGUGGAGGAUG
rnacentral:lncRNA from 1 species